UACAGAGGGGCAAGCGUUGUUCGGAAUUACUGGGCGUAAAGGGCGCGUAGGCGGCCCGCUAAGUCGAACGUGAAAUCCCCGAGCUCAACUCGGGAACUGCGUCCGAUACUGGCGGGCUUGAAUCCGGGAGAGGGAUGCGGGAAUUCCAAGGUGUAGCGGUGAAAUGCGUAGAUAUCUGGAGGACACCGGUGGCGAAGGCGGCAUCCUGGACCGGCAUUGACGCUGAGGCGGCGAAAGCUAG
rnacentral:rRNA from 1 species